UUUGCAACUAACCUAAAACGGGCAGUUGGGACUUGGGGGAAAGGCCGAUUGGCGCACUGCAGCGCAAAUUAGCAUCGUGAGCUCAAGACUCCCUGGCUCCUAGGAAGUAGCAAGCCUCUCCAUCCACUUUUCCUUUCAUCCCCUCGCCUCUCAUUCCCAAUCCAAUCUUCUCUCUCGCACAGCCUUCCAUCAUUCUCUUUCUAAGGCGUAAAACCCUUAAAAUAACACCCUAUCCGACCACAAAUUCCGGUUUUCUCUCUUCGAAAACCAGUGGAAUCACUUCAAUUUCGCAAAAUCAGAAUAACUAGGGUUUUCCACAACAUCACUGUAAUGGUUUUCACAGCAAAAGCCGCAAUCUUUGAAUUUGUCGGUCGAUAAUUUUGCAGAAAGCUUGAAGAUCUGUGCUGUGGUUCGAUUGCUCUUCGUUGCGGACGUGCAUCCAUGGACGACACCGAGGACGAUGCAAGGUACCCUCCAAAACGCUACUCUUUGAAUCACCACCCCAGCUUCGGUCCUUCGCACCGUUCGAAGCUCCCUAUUCGAAACUCCACUUAUCCUCAUUCCAUUCGCAAUCAAUACAACGACGUUGAAGAUGAUGAAGAUGACGAAGAAAAUGCGCAAGAAGAGGAGGAUGAAUUGGAAGAAGAUGAUGAUGAGGUAAACAGUGGUUACGACGACGACGAAGACGGCGAUGAUCAAAAUGGGUAUCGCGAAUUUGCGCAAACUGGCGGUUCCGAGAGGUACAGAAAGAAGAGAAAGUUGGAGAAUUUGGGGGGAGGUUAUGAGUUUGCGCCGCGGGUGGGUCAGGCAACAGCUGGAACUGGCGCGAAAUCAGCAGCAUUUGGGGCGUGGGAUUGGACCGAGCACGCCACAUUGGCGUUGUUGGAGGCUUGGGGUGAUAGGUUUCUUCAGCUGGGAAGGAAGAGUUUGAGGUCUGAUGAUUGGAGUGAGGUUGCGGAGAAGGUGUCGGAGACAACCAAAAUGGAAAGGACAGAUAUGCAGUGUAGAAAUAGGUUGGAUACACUGAAGAAGAAAUAUAAGAAAGAAAAGUCAAAAUUGGAGAAAUUAGGGAAUGGUGCUGGUGCUAGCAAAUGGGCUUAUUUUAAGAAGAUGGAUAUGUUAAUGGCUUCAUCGCCGAGGCAACAGCAUGGUUUGGCCUGUGGGGUGGAUUCUGGCGAGUAUGUUUUUAUGAAUCCGCAGGUUUAUUUGAGCCGUUCCAAUGGAUUUGAUGAGAUGAGGGAUAGUCCAGGCAAUUCUGAGUCAUCUGAUGGCAAUGAUGAUGAUGGUGAUGAUUCGGAUGGUCUUCCUUCUAGGAGGAGGAGGUUUGGAGAACAUGAUGAUAGGGGAUCAUCGUUUAGGUUAUUGGCUGAUUCUAUUCAGAAGUUUGGAGAGAUUUAUGAGAAGAUUGAAAAUAGCAAGAGGCAGCAAAUGAUUGAGUUGGAGAAGAUGAGGAUGGAUUUUCAUAGAGAAUUGGAAUUGCAGAAGAAGCAGAUGCUUGAGAGGGCAAAUGCUGAGAUUGCAAAAAUACAGCAAGGAGAUGAUGAAGACACUGAUGCUUCAGCCGAGAAUCUCAGUGGGUGAUGUAGUGUUCAUGCAGGUGAAAGCUCAUGUGCACAGGAAGAGCUAUUUCAUAUUCUAUUGGCGGGGAGCCAUUUCUCUCUAGGUGAGGGAUUGACGAGGGAAGUCACAUUUAAAGCUGCAACCUGCUAUCAGUUUGUGGAGGAAAAGAACUCUUUGCUUUAAGAAAGCAGCAAUGGCUAGUAGUUCCCAUACUUGAGAAAUUGGGAGGAUUUUCAUGAUGUUAAGAGGCAUUUAGCCAUUUGUGUUACUGGUCUAGAGAUUAAAUGCACCAGGAGUCAAUAGUCCUUUAUUCAGUGGAUUUAUUUAUUUCGACUUUAUUUGUGUUCGUGUUUUCACUUAUCUCAGCAUUUGUCUCUAAGCUGCUAAUUUGAUCUCAUUAUGGGACAAUUGUAGUAAAUGCUCUACUGUUUUGGAUCAAGUUCAAGGCCUUAAAACAUUUUGUUUUGUAGCUGAAAGCCUGUAUUGGCGUUCUUGCCUCCCUGACCUUCAGCUGAAUUGGAAGUAUUAUGUAUUUGUUGUAGCACCAAGUAAUUCAUUUUGGAUUUGUAAUUAAGCUGAUAUUCAGCUCAAUUGGAAUAAUAUAUAUUUGUUGUACCGCCAA